rnacentral:RNase_P_RNA from 1 species
AGAAUACAUUGGACAAUCGCCUUGGGUCGCUUCGGCACUUGGGGAGGAAAGUCCGGACACCAACAAGUACCGUGCUCAGCGAUCCUUUAGGCGUAGCUGAGGGUUUGCUUCGGCAAAUACAGAAAGUACAACAGAAAACAAACCGCUUCUUGGAAGUAAGGGUGAAAAGGUGAGGUAAGAGCUCACCGCCUCUUGUCGUGAGACAGAGGGCAUGGUAAACCUCACGGGGUGCAAGUUCAUGCAGGCAAUAUGUGUUACUUGUCACGAUGCUGCCGGGUGGAACGCAUAAGAUAAAUGAUUGUCGUUUCGAAUGUUAACUUGCUAAUUUGAAAUACAGAAUCCGGCUUAUAGAUGUAUUCAGCAA